AAGCCGUUCUCGGUUCGGAUCGGAGUCUGCAACCCGACUCCGUGAAGCUGGAUUCGCUAGUAAUCGCGCAUCAGCCAUGGCGCGGUGAAUACGUUUCCCGGGCCUUGUACACACCGCCCGUCAAGCCAUGGAAGCCGGGGGCGCUUGAAGUGCGUUGCCGCAAGGCGCGCCCUAGAGCGAAACCGGUGACUGGGGCUAAGUCGUAACAAGGUAGC
rnacentral:rRNA from 1 species